rnacentral:rRNA from 1 species
UACAGAGGGUGCGAGCGUUGUCCGGAAUCACUGGGCGUAAAGGGCGCGUAGGCGGCUCGAUAAGCGUGCGGUGAAAGCCCGGGGCUCAACCCCGGGUCGGCCGUGCGAACUGUGGAGCUGGAGCACUGUAGAGGCAGGUGGAAUUCCGGGUGUAGCGGUGGAAUGCGUAGAGAUCCGGAAGAACACCAGUGGCGAAGGCGGUCUGCUGGGCAGUGGGAGCUUCGGCUCUCUUUAGCCGACACUGAGGCGCGACAGCGUGGGGAGCAAACAGG